rnacentral:rRNA from 1 species
AAAAAUAAUAAGUAGAUUAAAAAAAAUUUUUUUAAAAGAUAUUUAUAAAAAAAUUAUUAUUUAUUUACCUUUUGUAUAAGUGUUUUUCGAAAAGUGUUAAAAAUUUUAAUUUCCCGAAAAUAAUUGAUAAAAUAAAAAUUUUUAUAAUACGUAGUAUAGUAUUGUAAGUAAGUUUUAUUAGAAAUGAAAAAUUUUUCAAUUUUAUUGAUAUCUGGAUUUUUUUGAGAAGUAUUUAGUACUUUUUAGACAGUAAAAAGGUGUUACGAUCUUUUUAAUUUUGAAAAUUUUUUUAAUAAGUUAAAUUUUUUAAAUAAAAUUAAAAUUAAAUUUUUAAUAUAUUAUUUUUAAAAAAUAAAAUUCUUUUUUAUAAAAAAAUAUUAUUUUAAAUUUUUAAAAUAAUUAUUUAUGAAAAAAUUAGUAUUUUAUAUAAAUAGUUUUUUAGGAACUCGGCAAAUAAUAGUUUCAAUAGUUUAUCAAAAACAUAGUUUUAUGAAUGUAUAUAAAAUAUUUUCUGCCCAAUGUAUUAAAAUAAAUGGCCGCAGUACCUUGACUGUGCUAAGGUAGCGUAAUCAAUUGGCUUUUAAUUGAAGUCUAGUAUGAAAGGGAUAAUGAAAUUUUUCUGUCUUAAAAACUUUAAUUAAAAUUUAUUUAAAAGGUGAAAAUACCUUUUUAAAAAAUAAAGACGAGAAGACCCUAUGAAUUUUUAUUUUUUUUUUGUUGGGGCGACAAUUUAACACUUUAAUCUUAAAUUAUAUAAAAUAUAUCGAUUAUAUUAAUUUAAAAAAAAUUACCUUAGGGAUAACAGCAUUAUUGUUAAAACAGUUUGUGACCUCGAUGUUGGACUAGGAACUAUAAGGCUAGCCGUCUUAAUAGAUUUGUUCUGUUCGAACAAUUUAAUCCUACAUGAUCUGAGUUCAGACCGGCGUAAGCCAGGUCAGUUUCUAUCUUAUAUUAUAUUAAUUGCAGUACGAAAGGAUCUAAUUAAGUUUU